GGCGGGGUAGCUCAGCUGGUUAGAGCGACGGAUUCAUAACCCGUAGGUCAGGGGUUCAAGUCCCCUCCCCGCUACCA
rnacentral:tRNA from 1 species